rnacentral:rRNA from 1 species
GGCUCAGGAUGAACGCUAGCUACAGGCUUAACACAUGCAAGUCGAGGGGCAGCACAGUGUAGCAAUACAUGGGUGGCGACCGGCGCACGGGUGCGUAACGCGUAUCCAACCUUCCCGUUACUCUUGGAUAGCCUUCCGAAAGGGAGAUUAAUACAAGAUGGUAUUCAAAUUCCGCAUGUUAUUUGAAUUAAAGAUUUAUCGGUAACGGAUGGGGAUGCGUGACAUUAGAUGGUAGGCGGGGUAACGGCCCACCUAGUCUACGAUGUCUAGGGGUUCUGAGAGGAAGGUCCCCCACACUGGAACUGAGACACGGUCCAGACUCCUACGGGAGGCAGCAGUGAGGAAUAUUGGUCAAUGGUCUGACGACUGAACCAGCCAUGCCGCGUGAAGGUCACGGCCCUAUGGGUCUUAAACUUCUUUUGUAAGGGAGCAAUAAGUCUCACGUGUGGGAUGAUGAGAGUACCUUACGAAUAAGCAUCGGCUAACUCCGUG